CUGGCUGAUGAGACUAAGGCGAAGGCGAAUCCUGCUCUGCCCAGGGCUCCGCGGGGGGAGGGAGGGAGGGGCCACAGAUGGGAUCUGAAAUCUUAGUGGGGGCUCCAAAGGCCCAGCUCCCCACUGUAAGGUCAGAUCCACAGCACCCACUGGCCUCCCCCACUGCUGCUGCUGGCCAGUCCCGGGCAGCAGCCUGCGGGGCAGGCCCACAGACGGAGCCUGCGCAGGAGCUGGCUGAGCGCAUCCUUGGAUCUGACA